GUUUUCCUUCAGUUUCCGUUUUUCCACCUUCUCGCGUUGCCCGUUUUCACAGUAAUCUCUGCCUCCUCUUUUAAUCGCCUCGCCCGUUUUCAUUCCUCCUCUGCGACCUACUGAUCGCCUCCGAUCCUCUGCCUCCUCUUUACCGGUAUCGUAUUUAUGUGUUGGUUUUUGGUGAAAACGGGGAGGGAGCAGUGGUAGAGCCAUGCCUUUUGUUCAUUGUUUCUCAUAUUAUUUCUCAAUUCGGUGGUCACUAAUCUGCUUUUUCGUUCAUUCUUCUCAAUUCCUCUGCAAUCUCUCAUCUUCCAUCGGUUUAUUCUGCUUUAAUGGACACUGGCCUUUUUCAAUUGCUAUCUCUCCUCUGCAAUUGCAGUGCAAAUUUCUCUUCCUCUAGGGUUUGGCCGCACAAAAUCUUCAACUCUGCAACUCUUUGAUCGUUCUCCUGGGAUUAUGUUCUUCCUCUUGAUCCCAAUUUUCGUUUGUUUUAGGCCCCAAGGCUUCUCAUUUUCAUUAGUUUUUGGAUUGAUGAUGUACGUGCCAGAGAUUGAUGCAGAUGGGGCUUCCAUGGCAGGUGGAGCGGAGGAUGGGAGAUUGAGAAAGAUGGAGAAACAGUGAAGCUUAAAUCCCCAGAAACAAUUAUAACAGGAACUUCAUUUGAUUAUUUCAUUGGUUGGAGCCUCCUCACACUGCCUUUUCAAAUUCCAUCUGGCUUAUGGAUAUGGUGCUCCAGAAUCUUAAAUCUUUCCAUGAUUAUCCCCUGGGUUCUCUGAUUUUGGCUGAAUUGUAGCCAACAUGAAGCAGUAGGUUGGAGGGAAAAUUUGAGCCAUUUCUUUUCAUUGGUCGUUGCUAUAAUUUGAAAGGUAACACCCUAUUGGGAGAACAAAACAGCUAACAUAUAUGUCAUAAAAAAGUUUGAAAUGCUUAGUAGGGGACAUUUGUGUUGAGCAUGUUAGAGUUGAAAGGAAUGUGCUUGCAGAAGAUGAGCAUGCAAUGAUUGAAUUGUGAAACUGUAUUACUACAUGUACCAAGUAAACUGAUUUAUUGCUAAUGCAUCCAUCUUUUUUAUGGUGGAAGCUCUUAAUUUAUACAAAUAAUGGAUGUGGUUUUUCAUCAUUCUAAGUGUAGGUUUUUCACGUUGUAGUUUGAAUUUCAGAUAGGUCACUUGAGUUUUGUGGAGCCUUCUAUCAACAACUUAGAUUUGAAAAAGAAAAUACAUAUUGAAUUAAAAUUCACCUUAUACCAUGGGGAAGACCAGUUUCAUCCUUGCUUUUAUCUGCUCAGCUUCUUUGUUCUUAAAUGCUGCAAUCCCCUUUGUUGGAUACAAGAUGAGUGGUCAGGACAGAGAAAAAGUAGUAGUUUGCAAAGGAAGACUGUUGUUACUCCUUUGAAGUAAUGAGAUCAGUAAAUACUAAAUAGGACUACAGUGUUAAUGAUGAUAAAUAAUAAAUUAAAAACAUCCUGUUUAUUUGUCAUCUUCAUAUUUGUCAGUGUUGAUUUUUGUAUUUUAGAUGCUUGAAUAAUUAAUUUUUUUGACAAAUUUUUUCCUUUACACUUUCCUUCCUUUUGAAAGAUGUAUUUUAUGGGUGUGACACAGUAGACCAUACAGGAAAGCUAGCUAAAUCAUGAUAUAAUUUCAUGGGUGUGCUCUUUUUAUCAGAUCAUUGAUUGAUGAACUUUGAGGUGGAGACAUAUGGUAUCUAGAUAAAAAGAACUUCAUCUCAUAUCACCUUGAAAUUUAAA